GAUGAACGCUGGCGGCGUGCCUAAUACAUGCAAGUCGAGCGAACAGACGAGGAGCUUGCUCCUCUGACGUUAGCGGCGGACGGGUGAGUAACACGUGGAUAACCUACCUAUAAGACUGGGAUAACUUCGGGAAACCGGAGCUAAUACCGGAUAAUAUAUUGAACCGCAUGGUUCAAUAGUGAAAGACGGUCUUGCUGUCACUUAUAGAUGGAUCCGCGCUGCAUUAGCUAGUUGGUAAGGUAACGGCUUACCAAGGCAACGAUGCAUAGCCGACCUGAGAGGGUGAUCGGCCACACUGGAACUGAGACACGGUCCAGACUCCUACGGGAGGCAGCAGUAGGGAAUCUUCCGCAAUGGGCGAAAGCCUGACGGAGCAACGCCGCGUGAGUGAUGAAGGUCUUCGGAUCGUAAAACUCUGUUAUUAGGGAAGAACAAAUGUGUAAGUAACUGUGCACAUCUUGACGGUACCUAAUCAGAAAGCCACGGCUAACUACGUG
rnacentral:rRNA from 1 species